rnacentral:rRNA from 1 species
AGAGUUUGAUCAUGGCUCAGGAUGAACGCUGGCGGCGUGCUUAACACAUGCAAGUCGAACGAAGCAUUCCGGGAGAGGCCUUCGGGCGGAUCCUGGGAUGAUUAGUGGCGGACGGGUGAGUAACGCGUGGGCAACCUGCCCCGUACCGGGGGACAACAGCUGGAAACGGCUGCUAAUACCGCAUAAGCUUCCGUGGCCGCAUGGCCGUGGGGGGAAAACUCCGGUGGUAUGGGAUGGGCCCGCGUUGGAUUAGGCAGUUGGCGGGGCAACGGCCCACCAAACCGACGAUCCAUAGCCGGCCUGAGAGGGCGACCGGCCACAUUGGGACUGAGACACGGCCCAAACUCCUACGGGAGGCAGCAGUGGGGAAUAUUGCACAAUGGGGGAAACCCUGAUGCAGCGACGCCGCGUGAGCGAAGAAGUAUUUCGGUAUGUAAAGCUCUAUCAGCAGGGAAGAAAAUGACGGUACCUGACUAAGAAGCCCCGGCUAAAUACGUGCCAGCAGCCGCGGUAAUACGUAUGGGGCAAGCGUUAUCCGGAUUUACUGGGUGUAAAGGGAGCGUAGACGGGUAUGCAAGUCUGAUGUGAAAGGCCAUGGCUCAACUGUGGGACUGCAUUGGAAACUGUAUGCCUUGAGUGCCGGAGAGGUAAGCGGAAUUCCUGGUGUAGCGGUGAAAUGCGUAGAUAUCAGGAGGAACACCAGUGGCGAAGGCGGCUUACUGGACGGUAACUGACGUUGAGGCUCGAAAGCGUGGGGAGCAAACAGGAUUAGAUACCCUGGUAGUCCACGCGGUAAACGA